rnacentral:rRNA from 1 species
AGCAGCCGCGGUAAUACGGAGGGUGCAAGCGUUGUCCGGAUUUACUGGGCGUAAAGCGCACGUAGGCAGUUUGUUAAGUCAGGGGUGAAAUCCCGGAGCUCAACUCCGGAACUGCCCUUGAUACUGGCAAGCUAGAGUCCGGAAGAGGUAAGUGGAACUCCUAGUGUAGAGGUGGAAUUCGUAGAUAUUAGGAAGAACACCAGUGGCGAAGGCGGCUUACUGGUCCGGAACUGACGCUGAGGUGCGAAAGCGUGGGGAGCAA